AUUAGCAGCUAUAUCAACCUACAACCUACAACUGGCAGCCUGAUAAGCUCAGCAGGUGUGAGCCUGGCCAGUACCUGGAUGAGAGACCUCCUGGGAAACUAAGGUUGCUGCUGGGA
rnacentral:rRNA from 1 species